rnacentral:rRNA from 1 species
AAGAUAGCAUUAUACGGCGGACUGCGAAUGGCUCAUUAUAUAAGUUAUCGUUUAUUUGAUAGCACCUUACUACUUGGAUAACCGUGGUAAUUCUAGAGCUAAUACAUGCUGAAAAUCCCGACUUCGGAAGGGAUGUAUUUAUUAGAUUAAAAACCAAUGCCCUCUGGGCUCCCUGGUGAUUCAUGAUAACUGCUCGAAUCGCAUGGCCUUGCGCCGGCGAUGGCUCAUUCAAAUUUCUUCCCUAUCAACUUUCGAUGUUUGGGUAGUGGCCAAACAUGGUGGCAACGGGUAACGGAGGGUUAGGGCUCGGCCCCGGAGAAGGAGCCUGAGAAACGGCUACUACAUCCAAGGAAGGCAGCAGGCGCGCAAAUUACCCAAUCCCGACACGGGGAGGUAGUGACAAUAAAUACUGAUACAGGGCUCUUUUGGGUCUUGUAAUUGGAAUGAGUACAAUUUAAAUCCCUUAACGAGGAACAAUUGGAGGGCAAGUCUGGUGAACGUUGCUGGCGCCAGAGAGAGCCGCCCCUCCGUAAACGAAGCGGCUAGUCGAGUGCUCGUGGCAGUAACGGGUGAGCACCGGCGAGACAACCUGGGUCGGGGGAGGCUAAGGGCCCCGGGCCUAUGCUAAUCCCGAGCAGAGCCGAUUUCCUACGGCCUGUGUAGAGCGCGCUAAGGUGUCGGUCCCGGGGCUCCCGCCAGCGGGAGUCCCCCGGGGCUUGAGGUACGUGCCAAUCCCCUGCGAAAGCAGGGCCCUGCGGAUUAGCACCCGUUAUGCGAAGCCGCAGGGGGCCUCCGAGCGAGGCAGUGAUCAUAUUGCUGUAAAUGGCCAGCAGCCGCGGUAAUUCCAGCUCCAAUAGCGUAUAUUAAAGUUGUUGUGGUUAAAAAGCUCGUAGUUGAACCUUGGGCC